rnacentral:tRNA from 1 species
AGACAAAUAACUAAGUAAAAGUAUAUCAAUUACACUGAUAGAAUGGUUAAAUUUAUCUUUGUCUU